rnacentral:rRNA from 1 species
GACGAACGCUGGCGGUAUGCUUAACACAUGNAAGUCGAACGAGAAGUCUUUUAUUGAACCUUCGGGGGAUAUAAGAGACAGACAGUGGCGAACGGGUGAGUAACGCGUGGGCAACCUACCUAUCGGAGCGGGAUAGCCUCGAGAAAUCGGGAGUAAAACCGCAUAACACGGAUAUAUCGCAUGAUGAAUCCGUCAAAACUCCGGUGCCGAUAGAUGGGCCCGCGUCUGAUUAGCUAGUUGGUAAGGUAAGGGCUUACCAAGGCAACGAUCAGUAGCCGGUCUGAGAGGGCGAACGGCCACACUGGAACUGAGACACGGUCCAGACUCCUACGGGAGGCAGCAGUGGGGAAUAUUGCGCAAUGGGGGCAACCCUGACGCAGCAAUACCGCGUGAGUGAAGAAGGUUUUCGGAUCGUAAAGCUCUGUUAUUGGGGAAGAAGCAGUGACGGUACCCAAUGAGGAAGUCCCGGCUAACUACGUGCCAGCAGCCGCGGUAAUACGUAGGGGACGAGCGUUGUCCGGAAUCACUGGGCGUAAAGGGCGCGUAGGCGGUUUUAUAAGUCAGAUGUGAAAGGUACCGGCUCAACCGGUGACGUGCAUUUGAAACUGUAAGACUUGAGUACUGAAGAGGCAAGCGGAAUUCCUAGUGUAGCGGUGAAAUGCGUAGCUAUUAGGAAGAACACCGGUGGCGAAGGCGGCUUGCUGGGCAGAUACUGACGCUGAGGUGCGAAAGCGUGGGGAGCGAACAGG